AGAGCGAACGCUGGCGGCAUGCUUAACACAUGCAAGUCGCACGGUCAGCAAUGGCAGUGGCGGACGGGUGAGUAACACGUAGGAAUCUAUCCUGGGGUGGGGGACAACAGUGGGAAACUACUGCUAAUACCGCAUGAUACCUGAGGGUCAAAGGCGCAAGUCGCCUUGGGAGGAGCCUGCGUCUGAUUAGCUUGUUGGUGGGGUAAAGCCUACCAAGGCUACGAUCAGUAGCUGGUCUGAGAGGAUGAUCAGCCACAUUGGGACUGAGACACGGCCCAAACUCCUACGGGAGGCAGCAGUGGGGAAUAUUGGACAAUGGGGGCAACCCUGAUCCAGCAAUGCCGCGUGGAUGAUGAAGGCCUUCGGGUUGUAAAGUCCUUUCGGCGGGGAAGAUGAUGACGGUACCCGCAGAAGAAGCCCGGCUAACUCGUGCCAGCAGCCGC
rnacentral:rRNA from 1 species